rnacentral:lncRNA from 1 species
GUUUUUAAUAAAUUAAAACAAUAUAGCAUAUUCUCCUAUAUUUAAUUUAAUAAAUAUCUGUUAUUUUUAGAUCACAAUAGUGAACAUAAACGUUUAUAAAUAGAUAUCCACUUAUUUCAGGCAAAUAUAAUGUCCGCAAGGCUCGAAGAAACUACUGCCCCGUUUGCUACAUCCGUCCACAGCAAUAGGAGGGUGCGUUUCUUUAUGCAGCUGCUAUGUAGCGAUUUACGGCUAACCGUUUCUAAAUUAAACACUGCACUGCGGCGAACCGUUUUUAAAAUCUUCGCUGCAAGAUGUCGCUACAGCGGAUGUAAAGCACGUUUUUACCUCGCUUCAUGAAUAAAGUAAAUGAUGGAAAGUUGUACGAAUAAAAUGUACAUUUUAUGUGGAGAUAAAAAAAGUAUUAAUAUAAGAAGUAAUAUACCUUAGUGCUUAUAUGCUAUUUGAAAAAUAUUUAGAAC